AAAACACAGCACUCUGCAAACACGAAAGUGGACGUAUAGGGUGUGACGCCUGCCCGGUGCUGGAAGGUUAAUUGAUGGGGUCAGCCGCAAGGCGAAGCUCUUGAUCGAAGCCCCAGUAAACGGCGGCCGUAACUAUAACGGUCCUAAGGUAGCGAAAUUCCUUGUCGGGUAAGUUCCGACCUGCACGAAUGGCGUAACGACAGCGGCGCUGUCUCCACCCGAGACUCAGUGAAAUUGAAAUCGCUGUGAAGAUGCAGCGUUCCCGUGGCAAGACGGAAAGACCCCGUGAACCUUUACUAUAGCUUUACACUGAACGUUGAGUUCGUCUGUGUAGGAUAGGUGGGAGGCUAUGAAACCAUGGCGCUAGCUGUGG
rnacentral:rRNA from 1 species